rnacentral:tRNA from 1 species
UGUAGCUCAGUUAGGAGAGCACUUGCCUAGCAUGCGUGAAGUCCUGGGUUUGAUCCCCAGCA